UACUGUUCAAAUUUCAAACCAAAAAGUGAUUGUGCUUGAAAUUCUCUAUGCGUCAAACAAUGCACUUACCUAUUCACAUCCUCCUUGCUGUGUCAGAUAUAUAGAUAUAUAUACAUGCAUAUAGAGAUAGAUAGACAUAUUUGAAAUAAAAAAUAAAAUUCAGAUAAGGUACACUAGAAGAGAAAAGCGUGAGACUCAAAAAACAUUAACCACUGCUACACGAAACCGUCACCCAUCAAUUUUUUUUUUACCCGACUCUCUCUCCUCUGCAUUGGUUUACGGCAUUACUCUUCCAAAUUUUCUUGCCAUUAACUCUAACCCAUUUUCAUCAGAAUGCCUAUCUUACUCUCCAAUCAUCAAUUAAAUCUCUCAUCUCUCUUUCAUUUCUCACUGCACCAGAAGCCAUUUUAAAAUUCCCCAUUCUUCAUCGUUUUUCUUUCCCCAUCAAUAGCGCACCAAACGAAAAACUUCUGCUACUGCUGCUUCGUCGUCCUCGCCGUCAUCUGAAGAACUCCCUGUUGCCGCAUUAAGGAAGAAAUUGAAGGAAAAGAAGAAAACACCAGAAGCUGAAUCGCCUAGUGUAUCCUCCGACCCAUCUAAG
rnacentral:misc_RNA from 1 species